rnacentral:rRNA from 1 species
AGAGUUUGAUCAUGGCUCAGGACGAACGCUGGCGGCGUGCUUCAUACAUGCAAGUCGAGCGGGGUGCGCUGGAUGGCUUGCCAUCUGGCGUUACCUAGCGGCGAACGGGUGAGUAACACGUGGGCAACCUACCCACGAGACGGGGAUAACCCUGGGAAACUGGGGCUAAUACCGGAUGAAGUGCAGGUGCUGCAUGGCACUGGCACCAAAGGGGGCCUCUCAUGGAAGCUCCCGCUCGUGGAUGGGCCCGCGGCCCAUUAGCUAGUUGGUGGGGUAAUGGCCCACCAAGGCGACGAUGGGUAGCCGGCCUGAGAGGGUGUACGGCCACACUGGGACUGAGACACGGCCCAGACUCCUACGGGAGGCAGCAGUAGGGAAUAUUGCGUAAUGGGGGAAACCCUGAGGCAGCGACGCCGCGUGGGUGAUGAAGGCCUUCGGGUUGUAAAGCCCUGUUGAUGGGGACGAAGGGCAUGGGUGUUAAUAGCGCCUGUGUCUGACGGUACCUGUCGAGGAAGCCCCGGCUAACUACGUGCCAGCAGCCGCGGUAAUACGUAGGGGGCGAGCGUUGUCCGGAUUUAUUGGGCGUAAAGGGCGCGUAGGCGGCCUGUUAAGUCAGGUGUGAAAUCCCACGGCUCAACCGUGGAACUGCACUUGAAACUGGCGGGCUUGAGGACAGGAGAGGAGAGCGGAAUUCCCGGUGUAGCGGUGGAAUGCGUAGAUAUCGGGAGGAACACCAGUGGCGAAGGCGGCUCUCUGGCCUGGUCCUGACGCUGAGGCGCGAAAGCUAGGGGAGCAAACAGGAUUAGAUACCCUGGUAGUC